CCUACGGGGAGCAGCAGUGGGGAAUAUUGGACAAUGGGGGGAACCCUGAUCCAGCCAUGCCGCGUGUGUGAAGAAGGCCCUCGGGUUGUAAAGCACUUUCAGUGAGGAAGAACGCCUGGUGGUUAAUACCCAUCAGGAAAGACAUCACUCACAGAAGAAGCACCGGCUAACUCCGUGCCAGCAGCCGCGGUAAUACGGAGGGUGCGAGCGUUAAUCGGAAUUACUGGGCGUAAAGCGCGCGUAGGAGGCUUGAUAAGCCGGUUGUGAAAGCCCCGGGCUCAACCUGGGAACGGCAUCCGGAACUGUCAAGCUAGAGUGCAGGAGAGGAAGGUAGAAUUCCCGGUGUAGCGGUGAAAUGCGUAGAGAUCGGGAGGAAUACCAGUGGCGAAGGCGGCCUUCUGGACUGACACUGACACUGAGGUGCGAAAGCGUGGGUAGCAAACAGGAUUAGAUACCCGAGUAGUC
rnacentral:rRNA from 1 species